rnacentral:tRNA from 1 species
GGAGAGGUGGCCGAGCGGUUUAAGGCGCAGCACUGGAAAUGCUGUGUAGGGCAACUUACCGAGGGUUCGAAUCCCUCCCUCUCCG